rnacentral:rRNA from 1 species
UUAGUGAAUACACCGGGACUUCCACUCUGUGGAUCCCAACCCAUCCACAAAUAUCCACAUACACCUGUGCAUUGUUGGUUUAGAUGGAGCGCCUUAACUGGAGCUUUUCAUCUGCCGACGCCAAUUUACAAACUCUGAGUUCUCUGAAUGUGAAGUUAUACUUGUCAUUUAUUGACAGAAUUAAAACAUAACUUUCGACAACGGAUCUCUUGGUUCUCCCAUCGAUGAAGAACGCAGCGAAACGCGAUAGGUAAUGUGAAUUGCAGAAUUCAGUGAAUCAUCGAAUCUUUGAACGCACCUUGCGCUCCCUGGAAUUCCUAGGAGCAUGCCUGUUUGAGUGUCAUGAAUUCCUCAAACCCCAAUGUUUUGCAAAAUUCAUUGCUUGGGUUUGGAUUUGGGCCCCUUUUGCCGCUUCACAGCAGCUGGCCUUAAAGAUAUUAGCUGGACCUUCGAUCUUUGUAUCGAGCCUCCAUUUGAUGUGAUAAUUUUGCAUCGGUGGGUUAAGGGCUCUUUGCUAAUCGCAGGAGGUUCGCUUCUAAUCCGGCGAGAAGUUCCAUCUUCGACCCACUAUUCAUUUACAACUCUGGCCUCAAAUCAGGUAGGAUUACCCGCUGAACUUAAGCAU